GCAUAUCAAUAAGCGGAGGAAAAGAAACCAACAGGGAUUGCCUCAGUAACGGCGAGUGAAGCGGCAACAGCUCAAAUUUGAAAUCUGGCCUCGGCCCGAGUUGUAAUUUGCAGAGGAUGCUUCUGGUGCGGCACCGACCGAGUCCCCUGGAACGGGGCGCCAUAGAGGGUGAGAGCCCCGUAUGGUUGGACGCCUAUCCUGUGUGAAGCUCCUUCGACGAGUCGAGUAGUUUGGGAAUGCUGCUCAAAAUGGGAGGUAAAUUUCUUCUAAAGCUAAAUAUUGGCCAGAGACCGAUAGCGCACAAGUAGAGUGAUCGAAAGAUGAAAAGCACUUUGAAAAGAGGGUUAAAUAGCACGUGAAAUUGUUGAAAGGGAAGCGCUUGUGACCAGACUUGCGCCUCGUCGAUCAUCCGGGGUUCUCCCCGGUGCACUCGGCGGGGCUCAGGCCAGCAUCGGUUUUCGCGGGGGGACAAAGGCCCCGGGAACGUAGCUCCUCCGGGAGUGUUAUAGCCCGGGGCGUAAUGCCCUCGCGGGGACCGAGGACCGCGCUUCGGCAAGGAUG
rnacentral:rRNA from 1 species